rnacentral:tRNA from 1 species
GGGCCCGUAGCUCAUCUGGUAGAGCAGCGCUUUUGCAAAGCGAAGGUGGGAGGUUCGAGUCCUCUCGGGUCCA